CCUACGGGAGGCAGCAGUGGGGAAUAUUGGGCAAUGGGCGAAAGCCUGACCCAGCAACGCCGCGUGAAGGAAGAAGGCUUUCGGGUUGUAAACUUCUUUUGGCAGGGAAGAGCAGAUUUCGGUACCUAGAGAAUAAGCCACGGCUAACUACGUGCCAGCAGCCGCGGUAAUACGGAGGUGGCAAGCGUGGUCCGGAUUUACUGGGGGUAAAGGGCGUGUAGCCGGGCUGACAAGUCAGAUGUGAAAGCCGGGGGCUGAACCCGGGAACUGCAUUUGAAACUGUUGGUCUUGAGUAUCGGAGAGGCAGGCGGAAUUCCUAGUGUAGCGGUGAAAUGCGUAGAGAUGAGGAGGAACACCAGUGGCGAAGGCGGACUGCUGGACGUCAACUGACGCUGAGGCGCGAAAGCGUGGGGAGCAAACAGGAUUAGAUACCCUGGUAGUC
rnacentral:rRNA from 1 species